AGCAGCCAAGUCUCACCUGAGCAAAGUUGGCAGCUGUAGUAGCGCCUGGAGGGAACGGUGAGCCGAGAACAGUUUGCGUCAAAUGCCGAAUGACCGUAGAAAGGUGGACGUUGAGUUCUUCAGCAGCUUCUGGUGUAGUUGUAAGAGGACCAGCUUCCGUGAUUGCUCUCAGUUGGUGGUUGUCAACUUCCGACGACUGGCCGCUACGCUCCUCAUCUUCAAGGCUCUCCUCUCUUUUGCAAAACUUCUUGAACCCCCACUGCACGGUAACUGUGGCCACGUGGACCAAGCCAACGCCGGCUCCUCUCAUUCCCAUUGAGAUCAGCAAGGCAACUCCAGCCUGUACCACCAAUAUCCCCAGGCCAGGAGAACAGCCAGUGAAAGCCCAUUUGAAAGACUGCCAUAUUCCUCACCAAUCCGUUUCUCAAGGCCAAGUAUGACUAUACAUAUUGGUGCAGCCAUGCUCUUCCUUCAAGAAGCAAUUCUUCAUUCUCCUUCCAUAAUAAUGCAUUUCACUCCCAGGCCUGGUUGAGUUUCAAUUCUGGUUACCAGCCAGGUAAAAAUGUGUAGUAGCAGGGCAUGAGAGCGUGGUUAUUUUCCCUCAAAGGGCGAGGACUCUUCCUAAGGGAGGAGAGGCACAGUGGAGUGUUGUAGAGUGGUAGGACCGGGGGAGUCUCGGAAUAUUUCUGGAUAUUUUUAUUCCAGUUCCAUCUUGUCGGGCUUUCUUUCUUUCUCAACCAUUGCCCUCACUUUUGGUUAAAAGUA
rnacentral:lncRNA from 1 species